CGAGGGGUGCAAGCGUUGCUCGGAAUUAUUGGGCGUAAAGGGCAGGUAGGUGGUCUGAUUUGACAGAGGUGAAAGCCUUGGGCUUAACCCAAGAAGUGCCUCUGAAACGGUCAGACUUGAGUCUUGGAGAGGGUCGUGGAAUUCCCGGUGUAGCGGUGAAAUGCGUAGAGAUCGGGAGGAACACCAGAGGCGAAGGCGGCGACCUGGACAAGCACUGACACUCAACUGCGAAAGCGUGGGGAGCAAACAGGAUUAGAUACCCUGGUAGUCCACGCUGUAAACGAUGGGCACUCGAUUUGGUGGGUCUUGACCCCCGCCGAGUCUGAGCUAACGCGUUAGGUGCCCCGCCUGGGAAGUACGGUCGCAAGACUA
rnacentral:rRNA from 1 species